GCCAGCGCCUGGGCCAGCAGGUGGGGCAGGUCGGCGUUCGGGCCGCCGUCGGCGCCGCCGGAGUAGCGGACCAGGGCGUUCUUGCCGCGGCGUUUGCU
rnacentral:tRNA from 1 species